CUGAAAAUUUUUUUUUUGAAAACCUGACCCCAGAGUAUGCCAGAUCCGCCACAAAUACAGGGAAUCCACUGUUCACACGGACAGAGUCUCCCCUGUAUUUGCACGGCGUCGCACAAGUACAAGAGUUCAAACAUUAUACAACCACAACAGAUGAACAUACAAAUGACCAACAGAUAUACAUUCAUACACCAUUCACCACAGAUUCACAUUUAUACAUUCGAUAUUUAAACAUCAAUCCACAUCUAUCAGUUAAAAUGUUUCCAACCACAGAAACAGGUUUUGAAAUACUAAGAUGCAAAAUCCACAGAAAACCUUUUGAAAACUGUUCCCUACACAGGAACUUUUAUCUUUUUAAAACGCUACCACGAGGGAUAGAAAACCUUUUAUUUUACAAAAUCCAGAAAUCCUUUUACUUUAACGUAAUGAAAUACUGAACCACAUAAAUCAACUAAACUAUACAUCAACAUAAAUAAUAGGGUAAUAACUAAACCGAAAUAACCUGGGUCGGAAGCUCUAUCGACCGCUACGUAUCUCACGUCUCAUCCCACUACUCAUCGCCCACGAUACCUGAAAAAUGGUGGGGGAGGUGAGAACAUGUAAACAUGUCUCCCCUCUCAGUGGGUACCGCAAGCCGGAGAGGGCGAGGGGUACUCACUAGUCACGGAGAACUAGAUAGAAAUAAGUGCUGGUAAGUAAAGAUGCUGAUAAGUAGAGAGCUGACAAGUAUAGAUGCAGGUAAAUAAAACAGUAGCUACAAAAAAAAAAGAUAAGGAUGUAUUGGAAAUAAACACUACAGCUACUGUAUGCAUGCGUCAACUGACGAUAACCUCAAAAGUACCCAAUCUCGCUGCCCUAUUGGUCCGAAGACCUCAGGCCCAUGCCACACUGCUCACCCUGUACCUGACCCUCGCAAUGAAGCCC
rnacentral:lncRNA from 1 species